UGUUAUGGAGUCAUUAGACUACCCACUUACUACAUCCAGAAAUAGUGAGAUGGCUGAGGACCCCAUACCAACCACUACAGCAGCCUUGGAAGUUAAACCUGCAGAGAUGGUGGCAUUAUUAGGAAAGCCCUUCUGCACCAGCUACUGAUCAAGGACCACAGGCAAUCAGUGCUGGCAGCAUGAGGUCCCUUGAUACUAUUGCUGAGAGCAGCUAUUUGUGGAGAACCAUCAUUACAGUCAUUCCUCAGAGUUUUUGAAGACAAACAUUCCUGAACCAUCAAUGCAUGUGCAGUCAGCACACACACACACACACACACACACAAAAUAGUGCACCAGAGAAGUAAAGUGUCUCUGUCUUUGUGCUGGCAGUGGGUUGAACACACAAAACGGCUGACUGCAGUACUGUGAAGUUCUGGGGUACAUGCAGGAAUGUCAAAUUCUGGGGUAACGCUGCCAACUUGAAGACCUCUAACCUAAGUAAGAUCCCAUGGGAAGCAAGUCUACCAGAAUUUGUUAAAGUCUGCCUUCUUGAAAUCCAUUUUCUUUAUUCUGCUGUUUGCCCUGCGACCAAAUGGUUUCCAAAUGUUUACUCAACAGCAGUGUACGACAUAGAAGUAAACAUGAAUGAACAAAAAAGCCUUUUCAUCUUGGAAAAACAACUAAAAUUAGAGGUAAAACAAUGAACAAAUCCACUCAGCUCAAGCUGAACCUCAGAAAAAAAUAUUUUAGAUUGAGUUUUGGGAACAUAAACCAUUGGUGUAUUCUGAUGAGAAAUGUAAAUGACUUUAAAGGCAUUUUUUUACAAUGCAUUAACAUCUG